rnacentral:rRNA from 1 species
CAGCAGCCGCGGGAAUACGUAGGGGGCGAGCGUUGUCCGAAGUUACUGGGCGUAAAGCGCGCGUAGGCGGCUUCUUAAGUCUGAGGUGAAAGGUUCAACGCUUAACGUGAACAGUGCCUUGGAUACUGGGGAGCUUGAGUAUGGGAGAGGGCAGUGGAAUGGCUGGUGUAGCGGUGAAAUGCGUAGAUAUCAGUCGGAACACCCAUGGCGAAGGCAGCUGCCUGGCCUAAUACUGACGCUGAGGUGCGAAAGCGUGGGGAGCGAACGGGAUUAGAUACCCCCGUAGUCCCUGUCUCUUAUA